CUUUCAAAAAAAAGUAUUUACUGAGCACUUUCUCUGUCAAGUACAGUACAAAGCCCAAAGGCUGUGACUGGGGUUGGGUGGCCUCCUUACUGAGCUCUCAGCCUGCUCAUAGAGACAUGUGGUUGGCACCCUGGGGUGUUCAGGCAUCUGUGACCUGGAAGAAGAAAGGGCUGAAGGCUCUGGGAGUAUCGGCUGCGGAAGACCAGUGGAAUGUUCCAGAACCGACUGCAUAGUAGAGCUUUUGUACUAAGGUCCCACAAGCUGUGCCUGCUCCCCAGGUCUGAAAUGAGCGUAAUUUACCUCAGACUGCUGCAGGGGUCAUGCAGAAUGGUCUUCUACUUGUCACUUAUUCAGAGCCAGGCUCAGUGAUGUCAUUAUGAAGUCACGAUGGGGUCUGGGUUCUAGGAGAAGGACACAUGGAUGCCCAGGUGAAUGGCCGUGUGCUUCCUUGAU
rnacentral:lncRNA from 1 species